rnacentral:rRNA from 1 species
AUACGGAGGAUCCAAGCGUUAUCCGGAAUCAUUGGGUUUAAAGGGUCCGUAGGCGGACUAUUAAGUCAGAGGUGAAAUCCCACAGCUCAACUGUGGAACUGCCUUUGAUACUGGUAGUCUUGAGUUAUAUGGAAGUAGAUAGAAUGUGUAGUGUAGCAGUGAAAUGCAUAGAUAUUACACAGAAUACCGAUUGCGAAGGCAGUAUACUACGUAUAUACUGACGCUAAGGGACGAAAGCGUGGGGAGCGAACAGGAUUAGAAACCAUUGUAGUCC